ensembl:lncRNA
AAAGCGCUUCAGCUUGCAGGGAGGGUGUAUCCUCUUGAUUUCUCACCUCUGACCUCCACUCCUCUCAAGGCAUCACUGACGAGGCACUGGAGAGCUCCAAAGCUUAGAACAUCUUUGAACCCUGUGUCUAUAAGUUUACGGAGAACUACAACAAAUGACAGCUGAUGCUUACUCAGAGCUUCUUCUGUGGCAGGUCUUGCUAAGUACCUGUUUUUACAGAUGAGAAAACUGAGGCUUUGAGAGAGUUUUUGUUUGUGGGUGUUUUUUUUCCCUCAUUGAGUGGCUUGGGAGAUCUUAGUUCCCCGAUCAGAUCAGGGGUCGAACCUGCACCCUUGGCAGUGAAAACGCAGUCCUAACCACUAGACCAGCAGGGAAUUUCCUGAGGUGUUGAGAGUUUAAGAAACUGGUCCAUGAGCGUGACAGUGCUGAGACGCAGGCCUGGUCUCACAGGUACAAACAAUAUGCUUCAAUAAUCAUCCUCUUUACAGAUCACACCUAAGUAUCAUCAACGCCCUCUCAGGUCAGUGGAACAUGAUUCAGUGUUCUUGCUGCAUUUUUAAUACUUUAAGUCCUUACAAAGAUAAGAGGAUGAAUAUCCAUCUCCCAACCACAUUUCUUCAAGCUUUAACCAGAGAACUUAGUGAUACAGCUCUGUCCCAGGGUCCUGGAGCUUCGGGGAGAAGUGGCCGAUAGCAGAGGAUCUCAAGAAGGGCAACUCCGUAAAGAGAAACCUGAACUUAGCAAUACUGACUGUGUUUCCCAGUGGAUGCACAUUUGCUGGGGACAUGGAGGGGCCUCCAGCAAUCAGACACUGGGGAUGAAUAUAGAGCCACCUGAACAAUUUAUGGCACUUCAACUUGGUUGUUUCAUCUGAAGGUCAUUCAUUCAACAGACAUUUAAUGAGCCUCAUUCUGCGCCAGGCACUGGGCUGAGUGCUGUGGACAUUGAAAAAAGAUGAGGCCUCUGCCUCUCAAGGGAAAUGACUUGUUGAAAAAUAACCAUAUUCAGAAAAUAAGAACAGCAGCACAGAGCGAGAAGCAGUCGGAACAGAAACCCAGCGUGGGUGACUGGCUCUCACUGCAGACUUUUGUAGGGGACAUCUAUUAAAUGUCUACAGUCAUGUUGAAGGGGAUGAGCCCUCUUCCUUGAAGGGAGAGAAGCUCCAUGAGAAAUAGGAACUGCUGUCUCCUGGGGAGGCCUCAUUUGCAUGACUGCGCUUGGUUAUGAAGACUACCGGAUACUCACAGGGACCCAGGAUGGCAGGUACUUGGCUCCACAGAGACCAGAAGAGGGACAAGAGCCAGGACCACAGGACCCAGGACAGUGAUAGUCUACUUCUCUCCCCACGUCUUGGCCCCAGGGGCUUCUCCAUGUCACCAUGGAGACUGCCCUCCCAUCCUGGUGUUGCGCUAGAACAGCCAUAAACUUAUCCAGGCCCACAGCUUCCAUGGCAUCAGGCCUCCUGCCACCCCCAGGGCCCUGCUACUCUCUGUGGAUUUUUCUUCAGUUUCUCUUUCUUCCCCCAAACCCAUCAUC